rnacentral:rRNA from 1 species
AUUGAACGCUGGCGGCAGGCCUAACACAUGCAAGUCGAACGAGUGGCGGACGGGUGAGUAAUGUCUAGGAAACUGCCUGGUAGAGGGGGAUAACGUCUGGAAACGGGCGCUAAUACCGCAUACCAUCAGAUGUGCCCAGGUGGGAUUAGCUAGUUGGUGGGGUAAAGGCCCACCUAGGCGACGAUCCGUAGCUGGUCUGAGAGGAUGACCAGUCACACUGGAACUGAGACACGGUCCAGACUCCUACGGGAGGCAGCAGUGGGGAAUAUUGGACAAUGGGCGAAAGCCUGAUGCAGCCAUGCCGCGUGUAUGAAGAAGGUCUUCGGGUUGUAAAGCACUUUAAGUGGGGAGGCGUUACCAGCAGAAUAAGCACCGGCUAACUCCGUGCCAGCAGCCGCGGUAAUUC